rnacentral:rRNA from 1 species
AGAGUUUGAUCCUGGCUCAGGAUGAACGCUAGCGGCAGGCCUAACACAUGCAAGUCGAACGGUAACAGGGGUAGCAAUACCUGCUGACGAGUGGCGCACGGGUGAGUAACACGUUUGCAACCUACCUUUGACUGGGGCAUAGCCCGGAGAAAUUCGGAUUAAUACCCCAUAAUGUUCAUUUAAGGCAUCUUUUAUGAAUUAAAGCUUUGGCGGUCAAAGAUGGGCAUGCGUACCAUUAGCUAGUUGGAGAGGUAACGGCUCACCAAGGCAACGAUGGUUAGGGGGUCUGAGAGGAUUAUCCCCCACACUGGUACUGAGACACGGACCAGAUUCCUACGGGAGGCAGCAGUGAGGAAUAUUGGGCAAUGGACGAAAGUCUGACCCAGCCAUGCCGCGUGCAGGAUGACGGCGCUACGCGUUGUAAACUGCUUUUGUAUGGGAAGAAACCCCUUAACGUGUUAAGGGUUGACGGUACUGUACGAAUAAGCAUCGGCUAACUCCGUGCCAGCAGCCGCGGUAAUACGGAGGAUGCAAGCGUUAUCCGGAUUUAUUGGGUUUAAAGGGUGCGUAGGCGGAAAAUUAAGUCAGUAAUGAAAUCCUGUAGCUUAACUAUAGAACUGUUAUUGAUACUGGUUUUCUUGAAUACAGUUGA